GCAGCUGGCUAAGCGCUAGCCCGGCCUGUGGCGAGUCUGCAGAGCUCGCCCGGAAGUAGCGUUGCGCGCGCAGAGGAUGGGCGCUGAGCAGCACACAGCCCGCGGCGGGGUCUCAGGAUCCGCGGCGCUGCCCGGGGCCGGGGGAAGGAAGCCAGCCGAGGAGACGCACGUGCCCUGAGUCCGGGAGCGGGGAGCCUCUUCAUCUCUCCAUCCUCCCUCCGCGCGCGCCCUCAGCCGUCCUCGUCCGCUCACCAUGCACCUCCCCUCCAAGAAAGGGCCACAUGCGUGCCAGGGACGCGAGCCCCGGCCACAGGGACAUAGCAGCCUAGAAGAGACAGAGCUUCACCAUGAUGGCCAGGCUGGUCUCGAACUCCUGGACUCAAGCAAUCUGCCUACCUGGGCCUCCCAAAGUGUUGGGAUUGUGGGCAUGAGCCACCUUGCCUGGCAUAUUCAAUGUUCUGUAGAGGAAUAAAAGUUCCCUGUUUUUCAAAUGAGCCCAUGAGUCAAAAAGAAUGGCAUAAGGCAAUUACCCAUAAAAACAAAAUUAAUAAAAUCUUCAUGUGGCACACCUAAAAACACUUCUCUUUCCAUGUAAGAACUAAAUAUAUGUCACUCUUCUGAUCAGGCACAUGGGCUGGAAUGAAAGAUCGUCCUUAUCUGGUUUAUUGCAGGACUCUCAUGCUUCCAACAGAAAAGGGAAAGCCAAUAGACCAAAAAAAAAAAAAAAAACCAAAAACUAGUUGUCUGAAGUUUUUUUUUUUUUUUUUUUUUAAAGUUUCUUUCUAUUCGAAUAACUAGCUGUCUAUAAUCAGGGUGCCAACUGAACAAUGAGUGCAGACACAGACAGGUUUGGCGUCACCUGUGUGUUCUGCGUCGGGAUCUGUAACAGCAGUGCCAGUGCACUGAAGUCGAAGGUUUCAUCUAAGGCCAGAAGUGCUCCGUGAACACCACUCUCUAUAAGAUUGUUUGCAUAUUCUUUAAGGCCAAUUGACAGGAUCCAGCGAAUCACUCGAUCAUUGCUCCAAACAAGCACGUCUGCAAAAGAAUAAAGACAAUUAUAAAAGUGGCUUCAGAAAGCCAUCUUUAUCACAUGUACCCUGUAAUGCAGGAGAAAGAUUCCUACCAUGGUUCCUAAUCCUUCGGCUCCUGAGAAAAGUGCUGGGAGACACUGCUAAAUAGACAACCAUUUGCUGCACUGAGACAAUGGUGUCCUGGCCCUGCUCCACUCUCAGGGAGACUCUCCCAUUAGAACUCAUCCUUCCAGUGAGCACGAGAGGAAUGAAGUUAUUAUUUCUAGAGAAAAGAAGAUGAUGAGGAUCCAGGGAUCAGAAGCCAGAGGACUGCAAGAACUUGAAUACCUAACAUGUAUAAACAUGCUUCACACACAGACUGGAGAGUCUUCUGAAAUACUUCAUCACGGAUGGAGCUGGCUCCAUAAUAAUAUGAACACUUUGCUCAAUUCAACAGAAACCUCUCAUUUCUAAUCUCGAAGUCUUUGUCUCAUUUUAAAAUGAGAGAAACUUAACAAUAUCAUCCAGCACAUUAGAGACUUUGCAGAAAAUCUUUUUUUUUCCUCUCUUUUUCUUGACAAUGUCCUGCUCUGUCACCCAGGCUGGAUACAGCCUGGUACCAUCAUAGCUCACUGCAGCCUCAACCUCCUGGGCUCAAGUGAUUUUUCCCACCUCAGCCUCCUGAGGAGCUGGAACUACAGGCGUGUGUCACGAAGCUCAGCUAAUUUUUUUGUACUGACAGGGUCUCACUAUGUUCCCCAGGCUGGUCUUGAACUCAUGGGCUCAGACAAUACUCCUGCCUUGGCCUCCCAAAGUGCUGAGAUUACAGGCAUGAGCUACCAUGCCCAGCCACAAUAUCUUAUGCAAAUUAACAAAUUAUUCAAUUUGCUCUAUUAGAUCUAAAAAUAGCCACUCUAAAAAUAUAUGCAGAUGAUCACCAAUCACUUCCAAAGACACUUCCAAAGAUCUUUGUCUAUUGGAAAAAGAUGUAAAAUAGAUACAGAAAACAAAACAGAUGGACAUAUUUCAUUGCCAAUGCCCUUUUCUGGAUAAAAGUCCAUACAUAUACACACACUGUAUAAAUGUCGACUUACGACUUUUCUCCUGAUUCACAUUAACUCAAUCACAAGUAGACUUCCCUUCAACUGGGCCAUCUCCCAACCAUAUUUUUAUCCUUAGUUUCUUUCUUAGUAUAAAGUGGGGAUGAAAACAGCACUUAGACUGACAGGGCUAAGGUAAAGAUGAAAGAAAGCAACCCCUGAGUACUUAGAACACCACCUGGCACCUACUCACUGUUAGUAAGACUGGCCUCUUCUUAUCAUUAUUGUUAUUGGUGACUUCCUUGCAUUCCAGGAAUUCUGGGAGUCAUUACUCUGAGCUUAAUGUUUACUGUCUAAUUUUAAAAGCAAAUUCUGACUGGGUGUGGUGGCUCACACCUGUAAUCCCAACACUUUGGAAGGCCAAGGUGGGAGGAUCCCCUGAGCCCAAAAGUUCGAGAUCAGCCUAGGCAACAUAGCGAGACCCUGUCUCUAC
rnacentral:lncRNA from 1 species